rnacentral:rRNA from 1 species
UACGGAGGGUGCGAGCGUUGUCCGGAAUCACUGGGCGUAAAGGGCGCGUAGGUGGCCUGUGGAAGUCUGCGGUGAAAGCCCGGCGCUCAACGCCGGGUCGGCCGUGGAUACUCUCGGGCUUGAGCUUACUAGAGGCAGAUGGAAUUCCGGGUGUAGCGGUGGAAUGCGUAGAGAUCCGGAAGAACACCGGUGGCGAAGGCAGCCCCCUGGGUCAAGAUUGACGCUCAUGCACGAAAGCGUGGGGAGCAAACAGG